rnacentral:sRNA from 1 species
UUGAGUAGACUGAGGAGGAGAAAGGGAGGGGGGUCUUGCUGUUUCAGGGAUGGCAGAGAAAAUCAUAUAUAAAUCGACUCAUGCAGUUCAAACACAUGUUGGAGGUUAAGCUACACAUAUCGUCUGGUUUGGAAAUGUUUGUUUUUUCAUUGCUUUAGGUCCUACAUCUCUUUUGAUAUCUUGAGAAGAGUGUUGAAGGAUUACUUCAAAUUUGAUGUCUUUUAUUGCAUGAACAUUACGGAUAUUGAUGACAAGAUCAUCAAGAGGGCCCGGCAGAACCACCUGUUCGAGCAGUAUCGGGAGAAGAGGCCUGAAGCAGCACAGCUCUUGGAGGAUGUUCAGGCCGCCCUGAAGCCAUUUUCAGUAAAAUUAAAUGAGACCACGGAUCCGGAUAAAAAGCAGAUGCUCGAACGGAUUCAGCAC